rnacentral:rRNA from 1 species
ACGAACGCUGGCGGCGUGCUUAACACAUGCAAGUCGAACGGAAAGGCCCUGCUUUUGUGGGGUGCUCGAGUGGCGAACGGGUGAGUAACACGUGAGUAACCUGCCCUUGACUUUGGGAUAACUUCAGGAAACUGGGGCUAAUACCGGAUAGGAGCUCCUGCUGCAUGGUGGGGGUUGGAAAGUUUCGGCGGUUGGGGAUGGACUCGCGGCUUAUCAGCUUGUUGGUGGGGUAGUGGCUUACCAAGGCUUUGACGGGUAGCCGGCCUGAGAGGGUGACCGGCCCCAUUGGGACUGAGAUACGGCCCAGACUCCUACGGGAGGCAGCAGUGGGGAAUAUUGCACAAUGGGCGGAAGCCUGAUGCAGCAACGCCGCGUGCGGGAUGACGGCCUUCGGGUUGUAAACCGCUUUCGCCUGUGACGAAGCGUGAGUGACGGUAAUGGGUAAAGAAGCACCGGCUAACUACGUG